rnacentral:rRNA from 1 species
CAGUAGCCACGGGAACACGUAGGGUGCGAGCGUUAAUCGGAAUUACUGGGCGUAAAGCGUGCGCAGGCGGUUAUGUAAGACAGUUGUGAAAUCCCCGGGCUCAACCUGGGAACUGCAUCUGUGACUGCAUAGCUAGAGUACGGUAGAGGGGGAUGGAAUUCCGCGUGUAGCAGUGAAAUGCGUAGAUAUGCGGAGGAACACCGAUGGCGAAGGCAAUCCCCUGGACCUGUACUGACGCUCAUGCACGAAAGCGUGGGGAGCAAACAGGAUUAGAUACCCCUGUAGUCCCUGUCUCUUAUAC